CGUCGUAUUCCUCACGCACAGUUAACCUUUUCAUUAAACUACAUCUCAUAAUUAUCACGAGUAGCGCUGGCAUCCUCUAUUGUUGUUUAAUUAGCCAGUUAAUGUUGUUAGUCUGCGCUGCAAACCAUUCAUUUGUCUUGCUUAAAGAGCCUCUCGUGCCAUAACGGGGAAAUUGAGUUUGUUAUUUAUUGUGAACAGAGACAAAGUGACGGUUAUUAAAUUUUAAUAAGCUGCUGUUUACACCACUGAGUCCUUGAUGACAGCAAUACUGUAGCUUCAUUACGGGACGCCGCUAACCACCAGCGAGCAACGGACCGGAGUUUGCGUCGUUAAGAAGACCUUCCUACUUUUCCGAAAAGAAAAGGAAUUUCCCGGAGUUGUCAGCCGGGUGGGUUACAAGGUUCUGCGUGCUAUAUGUGAAGUUGCAGUCGCGUAUUGAUCCUGCUAAUAUUCCUUAGCACUUAACCUUUACACUAGCCGGACGGGAUAUGAAGUUCCUUAUUGAAUGUGUACUUUAAUGUCCUUCUCUUGUGACGGACCUAAUCGAUAGCCUCUCUUCAUUAGUUAGAGCUCUCAGUCCUCCCACCACCAAAGCUGAAAUGUAUCUACGUAUUUCAGAAAGGGAAACCAGGUGCUUGUUAGGCCAGGUACGCUACUGUAUGCCGAUUGUGUUAAAUCGUUACUGGCCACAUUUACUCGUAUUGAAUGAUAAUUCUCUAUUUGUCUUUGGGUUUCCAAACUGAACAUUUAAAGGAAAAACUUCCCAAUCAUGGCUGAUAUUUGCUAUCUCUGGCUUUACGUGAACUGUAAAAGCAAUCAGGGCAUCUUUGUUCUUAGUUUUCUAGGUGGAGGCUCUGUUCGGUGCUGUUUUUAUUUUCAUUCCCCUUAUGUAGGCAAGAUGUUUUUCUUUCGGACACGCGCGAUUAAUCACCAUCAAACCCGCAUCUGUUCCUCUGCACACCUUUACGUGAAAUUCGGAGCCUGAGUCGGCGCCGCCGCCCGAAUUUCAUCCAUCUUCCCCGUGCAAUCAGCUGACACAUUAUCUCAUUAAAACGUACAAAGAAAACUCCUUCUCUUUAUCUGCGAUAAUCUAAUUAGCAUGAGGCAGAUGGUUUAAUAAGCGAUCUCCGUGCCGUUUAGCCUCCCAGACGCCCAGGUGGACAUCCGGGGAAGCUCCUCUGGUAGACUCCCGCCCUCCGAAUGGCUCUCCUGGGCUCAUAAUAUUGCUUCCUCUGCCUGAGGGUAGUAGCGCUCCUUGCUUUCAGAUAUGAAUACAGAAAGAGAAGCGGUGGGAAUCAAACCCUAAUUAUUUCGCUUAUUAACCAAGCCUAACUAGUUAACAGAUGUUCUGAGGUUUGCAAAGUCAAUUAAUAUAUUCAUCCUUUUGUUUUCCCUAAUUUCAGAUUGUUUGUCUUGUCUAGGGCUGUAAUCAGCGCUAAUGGCGUUUGGUGGAAAUCGCCCGCGGGUGAAGAUCAAUAUCAUAUUAUGCAAUCCACCCGUUCUGCUCGCUGUGCGAAUCUAUCAGACAUGACCGAGAAGAGCAGAAGGGCAGAGAGAGAGAGAGAGAGAGAGGCCAUCAUUAAGAAGAGGAAAAAGUCCAGUGACCAGAUUACAUUACAACCUUGUUUUUCCCUGUUUCUGACAGUUCCAGCAGCUGAUAAUGAGAGGCGAAGCCGAUGCCCAGACGUGAACGCUCGGAUGAAGUCCGGCCGACAGCCAUGGUCACUACAUCCCGAAUCUAAGCAAAUAGUAGCCGGGCAGGCUUCGCUCGGAAGAUCCGCUCAAUUACCUUUCCAACUUUUCAGCUGAAAUCCUCUCACCGAGCGGGCCGUAAUGAGAGAGGAUUUAGAAUAAAAAGAUGUGCCCAUCUACAAUGGAAAAAGUCAGCCCGGACUCAGAUUGAUGGCUGGAGAUGGUGAGAAGGUCAAGGCGAACCCGUGAUGCGUCACCUUACUGAAGGAUAUGGCGGAACGGCCCAGCGGAGCCGGAGAGAAAGGUGGUCCGCUCAAAGCCCGAGAUGUGCUCAUAAGCAACAUAAAUUGAGCUUCACUUCACGGGUCUGCACUCAGGAAAGCCCUUAACCACACCCAUUAACACUAAGCAAAGGGAGGUCUUAUGGAGGGCAGCCACAGAGUUACUCGAAGUAACCAAGGAUGGAAAGGUGUCAGUGAAGAGCAUGCACAAGAUGUGAUGUGUGAGGACUACAAAAGCUAAAUCAAGCAGAAUCAAUUAAGCAGGAGAAGGCAGGAUCUCCAGGAAGGCUGUGGGUUUGGAGAGGCCUUGAAUCCGAGCUUUGGAUGCCAUGGAGGUGGGCUAUCCAGUGGAUAUGCAUAAACAGAAACCGGGGAGGAUGAAAGCUGGUCGGCAGAUAAAGCCGCUUUGGAUUCCUGCUGCGUCAGCUCUGAAUUUUGACCAUCACAAUUAGACUCCCUACCAAAUCCACCUGGUCAUUUUGUUCGGUGGAUGUGUUUGACCCGUGUAUUAAUGAUGUUGUACGGAUGAAGUCCGACCCGUCACACUGGAACUGAACCGGAGGACACAGCCGAUGCCUCCGAGUUGAGCUCUGAUUUUCCUCGCUUUCUCGUAUGCAACAUUAAGAAGUCUGGAUAAAAGUGACCCUAGAUGCCCAGAGAGACUGAAGUGUGCUGCCACAUGAAAACUUUUGCCUUUACUUCCACUUUUACAGUUUGACUGAAAUCACGCUGACAGCCUAAAGGUCAUUCUGCACUCUACA